rnacentral:tRNA from 1 species
GUGAUUAUAGUUCAAACGGUUAGAACAUCAGUUUGUGGUAUUGAAGCUCUGGGUUCGAGCCCCAGUAAUCACC